CGUGGUCCAAUAACCACGCCACAUGAUGGUCUAUCGUUAAAAACAACGUUAUCCUAUAUGGCAAGGUGGAUGCGCUGAAAAUAUUAAUUGUCAUUGGUCAGAUUUUUGCUGCAACUAAACUCAUUAUUUGGCGAAUUUGACAGUGUAUAUUUAGUGGUUUUUUUGCUUUGGAACUAAGCUAUAAUCUGCAACAAUUCAUGGGUGCAUAGCGUCGCGUUUUGCGGCAAACCUGACUGCAAAAAUGAGCGCAUUUUGGACGUCCGUUUUGAAGAACAGCUUUAUAACAUAACUCCAGUUACAUUUAUAGUUCAUAG